AUAGCAAUAUAUUGGGGGGACAUUUUGAGCAUAUUUGAAUGUUGGGAGGGAUGUGUCCCCCCCAAUAUAUAUUAUAAUUACGGCCUUGCUUUCAACCCUCCACCAGUUCCCGCAGCUACCACACAGAAGAGAUGUGACCUCCAAUACCUGCUGUAACCGUCUGGCACCAUCUGCUCUUAGGCCUUCCCUUCCCUUUGGUCGCCAAACUCGUGGAGACCGCUCCAUUGCCCCUCUCGGUAUAUCAUUACAAUAUUAUUGCAAUACGUGAUUUAUACGUUAAACAUUCACUUCGAUGAGGUGUUCAAGGAGGGUUUUGCAUUAAGAUGUUUGGCAAUUUCAAUUUUUAGAACGUCUUACAUCAUCACGAGCCACGGUCAAUCCACUGAUGGAUGAAAGUCUCUCCAAGCCACCGCCACAUCACAUGAGAGGUGGUAGGGCCAGUCUGAUUGGCUAGUUGGUUUAGGUUGGGAGUAGAAUCAUUGUUGUGGUGUGAUUGGCUAGUUUUGUUGCCAUUUAUUGCUAAUUUGUAUGAAAAUAAAACUCUCCUCGCUGCAGAAGAGUAUGUGGGGGGAAAUCGCAGGACGAUUCCAGGAAAACUUCACCAACGCCCAUGCCGUCUUGAGUACCAUAGAUGCACAAAGGCACAGUCUGGCCGCCCAGAAUAAUUGCAAUUACACGACUGUGAUCAUAACAGAGUCUCCGAUGGUUUUGUAACUCAGCUGCUUAUCGUGACAGACUUGGUUCACUACUGGGGAAGUGAACUGAACUCCAUGGCUCAGAUGGGUCGGCUCAAAGCCACACGCUUAACUUGAGCCGCCCCGUGCAUGGUCCCAGUCACGCUCGGGAUUUCCAUGAGCAGAGUCGAAACACGAAAAUACCCGGUUCGAUUCUCGACUUGGGUACCUUUCUGUGUGUAGUUUGUAUAUUCUCUCCUUGUACUGCAUGGGUUUCCUCUAGAUUCUCCGAUUUCCUUCCAUAGGUAAAACAUACCAUGUCAAUCUCGGUUGAAGUUUGCAAAAAAAUAAAAAAAAUACCCAAAUAGCAAUCAUCGCCCCCUACUGGCAGACGAAUGCCCAUUGCCGAGCCAGCUUGGGCUGCACAGCAGCAAGCUGCCGAUGCUGGGACCUGCAGCUCUCAAGACGGUUUGCCGUCACGGGAUAGAAAGAGCGCAGUACGCAUGCAAAUUAAUUCUGUCGUGGUUAGGGCGCUGACUCGCAAUCAGAAGGUCACGAGGUCAAAUAUCAGUCGGAUGUAAAUUCAAUCCCAGCAUCAUCGUCAGCCAUGGUCAAUCCACUGCUGAAUGAAGGCCUCCCUCCCUAAGCUGCCCCCACCCCCUUUCACGAUCCUGCACGUGAACACAUUUCAUUCCGCUCCAUCUCGAUGGAUGUCAUCUUGAACUUGGCUGAGCACAGGUCCCAAAACGUCAAGCGGCCAGCUACAAACUGCACUCUCGAAGUUGUAAUCGAUGAUAAUUAACGCGUUUCUUGAAUUAAGCAAAGCUAUUAUGAGACCUUGGAAACAGAGUCGACGGAAGGGGAUUUUGAUGUGGAGCAAUGCUAGGGAAGAAGCAGAAAGAUAAGUAGUGUGAACUGCAGUGUGGUAAGUGGGUGAGUGGCAGAGUGAAUGAGAGUUUUGUUGUGACCUGCAGUGUAGUGAGUGAGUGGGUGAGUUCGUGACCUGGAUGAGUGAACCAAGUGUGCAUGAGACAAGAAAGACUGGCUCCGUUAAUGUUACAUGCUGAUGAUGUUACUCCAGUAUUAGGCCGCAUGUCAUCAUGAGAAGGACACUUUGUUAACCGAUCUGUGUUAUCUCCUCAUAUCUCGUAGUCAGUGUGUUGGGUUUUCUCUUGGGUCUCGUCCGGAGACCAGAAUCGCCUCCUUUGCAAGAGUGAUCUCGCACGAAGUGUGUUGGGUUUUCUCUGGAUCGCCUCCUUUGCAAGCGUGAUCUCGCACGAUUGACCCACUUAGGGUUGACCUCACGCCUGACCCCGCGAGGUACGAGGAGUUGCGCUUGUACAGCGCUCAGUCGCACGUUUACCAAUCUUAAAAAACAAAAUCCCACGUCAUCCCCGAUGGAGUUUCAUUUAUUUUCUUUUGAGAUUGGUGUACAAAAAAAGUGAGAUUUGUUUUGUCAUUCAAUAUCUCUAAGUACUUCUGUGGGCACGGUCAUGGCGUGGAAUCACAAUUAGGUGAUUGAGCCGUGACUAGAGGCGGCGUCGCCGAGAGGGAGAGCGAUGGAACGAGGGAGGGCGGACCGCGGGUAACCGCGGGUGAGCGUGGGUGAGCGUGGGCUGACCAUGGGUGAGUGUUGGGUUACCGUGGGUGAGAGUGGGUUAGUGUGAGAUGAUCGUGGGUGAGCUUAGGGUGAGCAUGGGUGAGAGUGGGUUACCCUGGAGUGAGCCUGAGUGUGGUAACCGCUGGUUCUGUUUCAGUGAGGGUGGGGUGAGCUCAAUAAGGCCCCAAUACCAUCACUAUCAUGUAAAUGAAAAACGAAUCAAAAGUGAAAACGGAUUGAGAAAAGCAACUGUCUCGGGUUGGUGUCUGCAUGGCUAGUGUGCCUAUUGGUAGGGCUAGUGUCGGCAUGGCUAGUGUGGCUAUGGGUAGGACUAGUGUAUGUAUGGCUGGUGUGGCUAGAUGCAGGGCUAUUGUCUAUAAGGCUGGUGUAGCUAGAUGCAGGGCUAUUGUCUACAAGGCUGGUGUAGCUAGAUGCAGGGCUAUUAUUUAUAAGGCUGGUGUAGCUAGAUACAGGGCUAGUGUCUACAAGGCUGGUGUAGCUAGAUGCAGGGCUAUUGUCUACAAGGCUGGUGUAGCUAUAUGCAGGGCUAUUGUCUACAAGGCUGGUGUAGCUAGAUGCAGGGCUAUUGUCUACAAGGCUGGUGUAGCUAUAUGCAGGGCUAUUAUUUAUAAGGCUGGUGUAGCUAGAUACAGGGCUAGUGUCUACAAGGCUGGUGUAGCUAGAUGCAGGACUAUUGUCUACAAGGCUGGUGUGGCUAGAUGCAGGGCUAUUGUCUACAAGGCUGUUGUGGCCAAAUGCAGGGCUAUUGUCUACAAGGCUGGUGUAGCUAGAUGCAGGGCUAUUGUCUACAAGGCUGGUGUGGCUAUAGGUAGGGAUAGUGUCUACAAAGCUAGUGUGGCUAUAGGUAGGGCUAUUGUCUACAAGGCUGGUGUGGCUAUAGGUAGAGAUCGUGUCUACAAGGCUAGUGUGGCUAUAGGUAGGGGUAGUGUCUACAAUGCUGAUGUGGCUAUAGGUAGGGCUAUUGUCUACAAGGCUGGUGUAGCUAGAUGCAUGGCUAUUGUCUACAAGGCUGUUGUGGCCAGAUGUAGGGCUAUUGUCUACAAGGCUGGUGUAGCUAGAUACAGGGCUAUUGUCUACAAGGCUGGUGUAGCUAUAUGCAGGGCUAUUGUCUACAAGGCUGGUGCAGCUAGAUGCAGGGCUAUUGUCUACAAGCCUGGUGUGGCCAAAUGCAGGGCUAUUGUCUACAAGGCUGGUGUGGCUAGAUGCAGGGCUAUUGUCUACAAGGCUGGUGUGGCUAGAUGCAGGGCUAUUGUCUACAAGGCUGGUGUGGCUAGAUGCAGGGCUAUUGUCUACAAGGCUGGUGUAGCUAGAUGCAGGGCUAUUGUCUACAUGGCUGGUGUAGCUAGAUGCAGGGCUAUUGUCUACAAGGCUAGUGUGGCUAUAGGUAGGGAUAGUGUCUACAAAGCUAGUGUGGCUAUAGGUAGGGCUAUUGUCUACAAGGCUGGUGUGGCUAUAGGUAGGGAUCGUGUCUACAAGGCUAGUGUGGCUAUAGGUAGGGAUAGUGUCUACAAGGCUAGUGUGGCUAUAGGUAGGGCUAUUGUCUACAAGGCUAGUGUGGCUAUAGGUAGGGAUAGUGUUAGUAUGGUUAGUGUGGCUAUAGGUAGGGAUAGUGUCUACAAAGCUAGUGUGGCUAUAGGUAGGGCAAUUGUCUACAAGGCUGGUGUGGCUGUAGGUAGGGAUCGUGUCUACAAGGCUAGUGUGGCUAUAGGUAGGGCUAUUGUCUACAAGGCUGGUGUGGCUAUAGGUAGGGAUAGUGUUAUUAUGGCUAGUGUGGCUAUAGGUAGAGAUAGUGUUAUUAUGGCUAGUGUGGCUAUAGGUAUAGAUAGUGUUAUUAUGGCUAGUGUGGCUAUAGGUAGGGAUAGUGUUAUUAUGGCUAGUGUGGCUAUAGGUAGAGAUAGUGUUAUUAUGGCUAGUGUGGCUAUAGGUAGGGAUAGUGUUAUUAUGGCGAGUGUGGCUAUAGGUAGGGAUCGUGUCUACAAGGCUAGUGUGGCUAUAGGUAGGGCUAUUGUCUACAAGGCUGGUGUGGCUAUAGGUAGGGAUAGUGUUAUUAUGGCUAGUGUGGCUAUAGGUAGAGAUAGUGUUAUUAUGGCUAGUGUGGCUAUAGGUAUAGAUAGUGUUAUUAUGGCUAGUGUGGCUAUAGGUAGGGAUAGUGUUAUUAUGGCUAGUGUGGCUAUAGGUAGAGAUAGUGUUAUUAUGGCUAGUGUGGCUAUAGGUAGGGAUAGUGUUAUUAUGGCUAGUGUGGCUAUAGGUAGAGAUAGUGUUAUUAUGGCGAGUGUGGCUAUAGGUAGGGAUCGUGUCUACAAGGCUAGUGUGGUUAUAGGUAGGGAUAGUGUUAUUAUGGCGAGUGUCAUAGUGGUAUUAUGGCUAGUGUCAUAGUGUUAUUAUGGCGAGUGUUAUAGUGUUAUUAUGGCUAGUGUGGCUAUAGGUAGAGAUAGUGUUAUUAUGGCUAGUGUGGCUAUAGGUAGGGAUAGUGUUAUUAUGGCUAGUGUGGCUAUAGGUAGGGAUAGUGUUAUUAUGGCUAGUGUGGCUAUAGGUAGAGAUAGUGUUAUUAUGGCUAGUGUGGCUAUAGGUAGGGAUAGUGUUAUUAUGGCGAGUGUUAUAGUGUUAUUAUGGCGAGUGUUAUAGUGUUAUUAUGGCGAGUGUUAUAGUGGUAUUAUGGCGAGUGUUAUAGUGGUAUUAUGGCGAGUGUUAUAGUGUUAUUAUGGCGAGUGUUAUAGUGUUAUUAUGGCGAGUGUUAUAGUGGUAUUAUGGCGAGUGUUAUAGUGUUAUUAUGGCGAGUGUUAUAGUGGUAUUAUCGCGAGUAUUAUAGUGGUAUUAUGGCGAGUGUUAUAGUGUUAUUAUGGCGAGUGUUAGUGUUAUUAUGGCGAGUGUUAUAGUGGUAUUAUGGCGAGUGUUAGUGUUAUUAUGGCGAGUGUUAUAGUGUUAUUAUGGCGAGUGUUAUAGUGUUAUUAUGGCGAGUGUUAUAGUGUUAUUAUGGCGAGUGUUAUAGUGUUAUUAUGGCGAGUGUUAUAGUGUUAUUAUGGCGAGUGUUAUAGUGUUAUUAUGGCGAGUGUUAUAGUGUUAUUAUGGCGAGUGUUAUAGUGUUAUUAUGGCGAGUGUUAUAGUGUUAUUAUGGCGAGUGUUAUAGUGUUAUUAUGGCGAGUGUUAUAGUGUUAUUAUGGCGAGUGUUAUAGUGUUAUUAUGGCGAGUGUUAUAGUGUUAUGGCGAGUGUUAUAGUGGUAUUAUGGCUAUGGGUGGGGCUCUGGCUUUAUAGGCGUGUGUGGCUGGGGCCAGUGAGGGUGAUGGAGGAGGGUCGAUGGUGGUGGUGGUGAGGGAAGUGACGGAGCAGGUGGAUGUAGUGUGUCUGAAGAACUCGUCGUUUGUCGAUUAUUAAAUCCACUUUGCGUUUCAUUAUUUCAAUGCGGCCACACGCGUGCGUGCUGCAUGCUGAAUGCUGCGUGUGUAUAGAGUGUUGGCCCUACAUCUCGUGGGGAGCGGUAGUGUAUAAGUCAGCACGCCGCACUACGAACCCGGCCACCUGAGUUCAAUCCACGGUCA